rnacentral:lncRNA from 1 species
AACAGUUCUUUAAACAGUUAUGGCAGGGUCCCCAAGACCACUGUCCAGUUCAAUGACUCACAGAACUCAGAAAAGUUACGUUGACAAUUAGUUUAUUAGAGCAAAAGUACAGUUUAAAAUCAGUACAGUUUUAAAAGGCAGAUAGGAAAGAGUUCAGAAGAGAGCAGGACAGGCUUCCAGUUGUCCCAUCUGACAGGAGAUGCAUGCACAGCACUUAAUCCUCUCUGAAUGAGUGUGGGUCAUUUAUGAAAUAUUAUCAACCAGGGAAGCUGAGACUUGGUGUCCAAGGUUUUUAUUGGGUGUUAGUCACAUAGGCAUGGAGAACAGAAAUGGCAGAUGUUAUUCAGUUUCCACCUCCCCCGGCGAUUAAAUUGAUACUGCAAGGUGCAAUGCCCUCACCAUAAAUCUGUAGCAUAAACUAUCUGGUGUGAUCCAAGGCCCCAGGUAAACAAAGGCCUUGCAUCAGGCAGGAUAUUCCAGGGGCUUAGCGCUGUGAUCUCCCAGGAGCAAGUUGAGGGCUAGACCUUUCUUUGAAAGGUGCAGGUUUCAACACGCCAGAUCUAUUAAGUCACUCCUUUCAUACACACGUUAAAAACGUUCUUAGUUCAUGGGCCAGGGAGUAGAUGUGACUGGAGACUCUAGUGCUAAGUGUCUUUUAAGUUACCUUUUUCUUCCUGCUAUUUCAAUAACUGCUGUAAGAAACAUCCUUGUACAUUUUUCAUUGUAUACAUAUGCCAUAUAUUAAUGACAAAGUUAUGUUCUUUCAGAAGUAUGUAAAAUUGGAAAUAUAUAAAAUAUGCGAUUCUCUUUAAAAGCAAAUCAGUCUCUAAUGCUAAUCACUAGAACCCCAAAAUUAUUAAUAAAUUUCAGUCUUUCUUAGUAAGAAAACUGAAUUUACAAUCUAGCGAACAUAAAAAUUUUGUAUAGAUACUAGAUUUAAGCAAAGAUCUCAAGAAAUAUUCGAGUAUCAUAUGUAUUCUGUCAUAAGCAAUAAACUGCUGUUGCUUUUCUGCCAUUUCAUAUAAAAAGAAAGGACCUUUUUAGUCUAAUUGUUUUAUCAUACAUAUGUUCUCCUAAUCUGAACUGUAACCUCUGUGUGAAUAUUGACGUUAUGAAAAAAAAAGCUUUACUUGUCAAAAUAUGACCAAUAUAGGAGACUGGUAGUUCAUAAACUGCAUUUAUUAGUAUCUUUAAAUGUAGAUAAAUUUAACAAAAUACUGUAGUUUUUUUUCCCUCUCUAAAUCUAAGGUUCUCUUUUACAACACAUCAAUGUGAUUUCCAGUUUUUGAAAAAAGCAAUUCAGUCUUCUCCCAGCAACAAAUGCCUACAAGCUUUAAGUGUUCUGACAAUUUCUGUACCUAAAUAUGAUGCAAAACUUUAGUCUUAUAAAAAGACAGAUGUUGAACUGCUGUUAUAAGCAAUAUGUAAUUUCAACUUUACUAAAGUAUGAAUUAUUUUCUCAACAUGUUUGCCAAUCCCUGAUAUUAUCUGACUGGAUGUGAAAUGGUAUCUAACUGUGCUGACUGGCAUUUCCUUGACUCCUAGUGAGCUAAAACAUUUUUCUGUUAAUUGACCUUUUGGUUCUCUCUCAUAUAUCACUCAUUUAUUCCCCCCUUAAGUAGUCCUUUAUGUAAUUUGGACACUUCCUUUGUCAGUUCCUGGUAGAUAAUUGCAAGGUAAGUACCUUCCACGUCUGUGGCUGGCCCUCUAAUAUUCAGUGUCUUUUGUCAUACUUAAGUUUCUAGUUUUAAUAUAGUCAGAUGUGUGACUCUUUUUCUUCAUGGUUCCCACUUUGAGUCACAUCCAACAACUCCUUCCUUACAUUGGUUCAAAUUUUCCUGUAUUACCUUCUAAAAUAUUUAAAAUGGUAUUCCCGCCCCCUCCCCCCUCCGCCACAUUUAGGUCUUUAAUCUACCAGUUUUUAAAAAUAUGGUGUGAGAAGGGUAUAUAAUUUUUUCACAUACAGACAUGCAAUUGUCCUAGUGCCAUUUAUUGAAAAGUUACUAAUUUCUCCACUGUGUCACGUAUCAAGUUCUCAUGUAUCUGUUUCUGUACCAUAGAUUUACAUGUCUAUCCUGGCAUCACAAGGGCUGUGUUAUCACUAUAGUUUUAUAAGCCCUACUGUCUUUUAUGAUAGGUACUCCCCUAUUUUUCCUGUUUAAAAAAAAAAAAUCUCAGCUUUGUCUUUCCACAUUCAGGUUAGGUUGAUUAAAUUCCAUAAAAAGUUUUGUUGAGAAUUUGAUUGGAACUUCAGUGAAUUUAUAGAUUUGGAGAGAACUGGUACUUUAAUGCACUGAUUUUUCCCAUUCUCUAACAUAGAAUACUGCUCCAUUCAUUUUAGUCUACUUCUACAAAAUCUUGCAUAUUUUUAUUGGAUGUAUUAUUAGGUCCCCUUAGAGUUUUAAUUGUGAAUGAAAUUCUUUCAAAUAAUACACUUUCAAACACACUGAAGUGGAAAAGAACACUACUAAUUCUUGCAGAUUGCUCUUAUAUCCAAAAUCUCUCAACACUCACAUUAGUUUUGCUACUUUGUAGUUUUCCUUGGACUUUCAAAUAAACAAUGAUCUUGCCCAUUAACAAUAAUUGAUUCUCUCUUUCCAGUCUUUAUGCCUAUUAUUUAUUCUUCUAGUCUCACUGCACUGGCCAAGAUCUCCAGUGCAACAUGGAACAGAUGUAUUAAUACAAUAUCCCAUUCCUGUACUAUUGCUGACAUUAAGGAACAUCUCUAAAGUUGUACCAUUAACUUGUAACAAUAACUAUGGGUUUUGGUAAGCUAUCAUUUAUCGUACUAAUACGUUUAUUCAUCUAUUAAGAGGAUGUUUUAUUUUUAAAAUCCUAAGUGAAUAUAACUUGCAUUUUGCUGGUUCUCCCCCUCCAACUCCCUGCAUUCACUGAGAUAGUAACAUGCCUUUUCUCUUUAACCUAUUAACAUGGUAUAUACUAUGUGAAAAGAUUUUACAGUGUUAAAUCAUUCUCCCAUAUGGAAAUAAUCCUUACUUGGUCACAAUGAAUGUAUUUUAAUAAAUCAUCCAGAGCUUGUGCAUUAUUCAGAGUAGAUUUUAAAAAACAGAUUGAGACUUAUUUACUAAUACAUAUUUGGCAACACUAAUCAAAAAAUAUCUAAAAUUUCAAAUUUAUUCACAUAAAUUCACAAUCACUUUCUAAAUCAAAUAAUUUUAAUUUUAUCCGUUUUCAUGCCUUAUUUCUUUCCUGAUAUCAAGCUUUUUUUUUUUUUUUUUAAUUUUAGACAGGCAGGGUCUUGCUCUGUUGCCCAGGCUGGAGUGUAGUGACACAAUUAUAGUUCACUGCAGGCUCAAACUCCUGGGCUCAGAUGAUCCUCCUGCCCCAGCCUGCCAAGUAACUGGGACUACAAGUGCAUGCCACUGCACCCAGUUAAUUUUUAAAAUUUUUGUAGAGACAAGGUCUCACUAUGUUGCCCAGGCUAGUCUUGAACUCCUGGUCUUAAGCUAUCCUCAUGCCUCAGCCUCCCAGUGCUAGGAUUACAGGCAUGAGCCACUGUGUCUGGCUAAGUUAUCUUUUCUUAUUGAUUAAUUUUGCCAGGCGAGUGAUAACCUCUACCCUGAUUCUAUCACCACAAAUUAGUUUAAAAUGUUCCUUUAUGCUUUAUGUCCUUUAAAUAGUUGCCUACCCCAAAACAUGAAGACACUCUCCUGUUUCAUUAUUUCCUUUCGCAUUUAAACCAUAUUCCACAUGGAAUUGAUUUUUCUAUAUAUAUGGUAUCAAGGAAGGGGUCUACUUUUUUCCCCAAUACAGCUAUCUAAUUGACUGUACCAUUACAAUAGUUUCUCUUUCUCAUAAAUCACAGAUGACCUAAAUGUGUGGAUCACCACGUAUACAGAAUUCUGUUACUUUGUUCUAUUUUGUUCUAGUCUACUUUGCUCUAGUCUGUUACUUUGGUCUAUUUGUCUAUCCUUAUGCCAGCCAACAACAGUGUUAAUUACAACUACACUUUUAUAAUCACAGGUCUUAUGUCUGUUGGUGAACAUUUUUCAGUUUUAUUGCUCAAGUUUAUCUUGGAUAUUCUCGGUCCUUUGCAUUUCUUCAGUUUGUUAAUUUCUCCAACAUACUGUUGGGAUUUUGAUAAUAUCAUAUAUUGAAGUUACAGAUUAAUUUACAAAAUUGACUUCCAAGUCAUGAACAUGGUAUAUCCAUAUAUUUAGAAUUAAAAAAAAAAUGCUUAAAUGAUUGGAAAAUUUCUUGUAUUUAUUUUACACUAGUGUAAAUGGUAUCAUUUUAUCAAUUUCUAUUUGUUUCUGAUAUAUAGAAAUACAAUUUCUGUAUAGUUUGUAUUCAGUGACCUUGAUAAGUUAUUUUGUUUGUUGAGUCUUUUCAAAUUUCUAUGCACACAACCAGUUGUCUAUAAAUGGUAUUAUUUUCUUCUUUCUAAACGUUCUAUCUUUUUACUUCAGGCCUUACGUUAUUGGCUAAUAUCUCAAAUAUGUUAAACAGUAGAGGUUAUUAUUGUUUUUAGACUUCAAAGAACCAACAUUUUGGCUUUCUCUAUUGUGUGUUAUUUCACUGACUUUUUGUCUUUUAUUAUUUCGUUGCUCUUCUUUUUCCAGCUACUUGAAAAUAGUUUAGGUAAUUGACUUUCAGCCUUGCUUCUUUUCUAAUGUAUGCAUGUAAAUCUAUAAAUUUUCCUCCACGCACUGCUUCAGCUGCAACACACUUUUUGGUAUGUCAUAUUAUUCACUUGAAAAUAUUUUUAAAUUUGUUUUAUUCUUUGACCCAGGGACUAUCAAGAAAUCUAUUACAUAAUUUCAGAGUAGUUGCGGGUUUCUCUAAUCAUCUUUUUUACUGUUUUCUAGUUUAAUUCCACUGUGUUAGAGAAUGUAAGAUGAAUGCUUUUGAUCUUUUGAGAUUAUUGGUUUGCUUUAUGACUCAAAAUAGGGUAAAUUUUGAUAAAUUUACUUGAAGAAAAUGUGAAUUAUGUUUUUUAAAUCAAGUAUUCAUAUAUGUAAAGUUCAGAUCCUCUGCAUCUGAUUUUUUGGGGGUAGGGUCCGGAUAGUCUAUCAGCUAUGGAAAAAGCUGCAUAAGCCUCCAGCUAUGGUUAGACACUUACCUAUUUCUCUUCUUAUAUGUCAUUCGUGCUUUAUGUAUUUCAAAUCUGUUUUCAACACAUACAGAUUUAGGAUCUUUAUGUGUUUUGGGUGAAUUAAUUCCUUCAUCAUUAUAAAAUGUCCCUCUUUAUCUCUGGUAAUGCUUUUUGCCUUAAAUCUCAUUGCCUGACAAUACCACAUUCAAACUGUUUUUAUUUGGUUUGCUGUGUUUUUUUUUCCCUAUGCCAUUUACAUUCAACCUUUUUGUGUGGCCUUGUAUUUAAAGUAUGCCUCUUGUAAGCAACAUGUAGUAGGGAAUUUUCAGCCUGAUAAAUUUUUAAACUUAAUUCAACUAAUGACUCAUUUAAAGUAUUUGGGUUUCUAUUUUGCAACUUUAAAUUUGACCCAUUUGUUUUAUGUCCCUUUUCUAUUCUUGCCUUCUUUUAAAUGCUUUUGUCUCCAUUAAAUUGUUAGGUAUACAUUCUAUUAGCCUUUUAGUGCUUAAGAGAUUACAACAUGCACCCUUGUCUUCAUAGUCUAAAAAAAGUAAUCUUACCAUUUACCUACCUAAUGCUAGAACCUGAGGACAAACUCCAGUACAAACUUCUCCUGUCUCGUUAUUGUAGGUGCAUUUUAAUUCCACAGAUAUUUUAAACCACAGAAUACAGCCAAUAUUCCUUCAAAUUUACCCACAUAUUUACCAUUUCCAUUGCUCUUCAUUUAUUCCUGCAUUCCAGGAUUUCCCUUGGAAUGAUUUUGCUUCUGCCUGAAGAACUCUCUUCAACAUUUCUUUCAGUGUGUAUGUACUGAAGACAAAUUUCCAUUUUUCACUCAAAAGUCUUAAUUUUGCCAUCACAUUUGGAGUGGAUCUUUUGUUUCUUGCCCAUUCUUCCUUAUCUGGAAUGUGAGCACUACAGCCACCAUUUUUUGAUCUUGAAGACAAAUGCUACAUGGUAGAGAGUGGAUCAUAAAGAACAGAAAAAGCCUGGGGCCCUACUGAUCUUGUGGAGUUAUAGUACCGGACACCUGGACAGCCUACAUCUGAAAGAAAAGCAAAAGCACAACAGUUUAAGCCAAUGUUACAUUGGUUCUUUUUCUGGAAGCAAGUAUCAUUCCUGAUGUCUUUGGUCAACUCUGGAAAUUUCUUGGCCAUUUAUUGCUUCCAGUAUAGCUGUUGUCUGUAAUUUACAUGGAAAUACUCCAGUAUACACAGUGUGGUACACAUAACUUAUGUAAAGUCAUCGCUUAAGUCUUGCUACCAUCCUGAUAGAACAGUUCACUAGGAAGAUGAACUAGUGUUCUAAUCAGAGAAUGCAUACUCUAGUGGAAGCUAUUCUAGGUAUUGUUGACUGCAUCUUGAUCAACAUACAAUGUCUUAAUUUUCAUACUAAAUGGUAGAAAUUUUUAUUAGUGACCUGCUAAAGUAAUUUUUUAAAUGGGCCUCCGAUGGUGAGAUUAAAGGUUUUCAGACUGACUAAUAGCAGAGUAACACAUACCACCAUUGCAAGAAGAGGCCAUAAGAAUCCAGCAUGGCCUGUAGCCCUUAUAUUUUGGGAUGAUGUCCUAGUCUAACCCCCUAAAAGGCUCUUGUCCAGCCAUGAACACACCUUUUGUUAAAGUAAUAGAAUUCUGCUUCUUAAAGGAACCUUUCAGGCAAGAUGGUGGUUAGAGCACCUAAAUGGGCCAAGAGCAAUUUCCUUUAGCCUGCAGAACAUGCUAAGAUCAGUUUUCUUGCUCGGUUAAUAUAACAGAAGCUGGCAUGAAACUGUUUUCAUUAUAACGUAGCCGUUAGGGGGUAAUUUGGCAGCAGGAGUAUGCAUGAGAGAAGGAAGCUACCUGUCCCCCACGCCUCAAAAACUUCAGUGCGUACCAUUUCUCUACCAAGAGUUGUAUACUACACAUUCUGUUAGUUCACAACUGCCUCACACCUUCUGUUUUCUCCUUAAACUCCUAAAAUAUAUAUGUAUAUUGGAUCUUCCAUGAAUUACUUUCAAUUUUCUACCUCUUCUGUGCUGCAUUCUAGCUUAUUCCUUCUGUUUUAAAAUUUUCCUUCAGGCCAGGCAUGGUGGCUCAUGACUGUAAUCGUAACACUUUGGGAGGCCAAGGUGGGAGGAUCACUUGAGCCCAGGAGUUCGAGACCAGCUCGGGCAACACAGUGAGACUCCAUCUCUACAAAAAUUUUAAAAACUAGCCAGGCAAGGUGGUACAUGCCUGUGGUCCCACCUACUCGGGAGGCUUACAUGGGAGGAUCACUUGAGCCCAGGAAAUUGAGGCUGCAGUAAGCCAUGAUCAUGCCAUGCGAUAGAGCAAGACUCCAUCUCCAAAAAUAUAUAAUUUCUUCAAAUGCGUCUGAAUAUAUGCCAAUUCUUUCCCCUAAUGACUUUAAAAGAGGCCCCGAGAACACAUACUUCUGUACAUUUCAUUCAUUCCUUUAUUAAAGCCAGUAACUUAAUGUGCCUCACAUUUUUAAGCUAAGCAUGGAUAUUCUGAAAGCAAAACUGAAAUGUAAACUUCAACUCUUUCUCACAGACACCUUCCUCUUUCUCCACCCUAAAGUCUUGGGUUCAGACAACUUUGUAGCUUCCCUGGGUUAUUGUGUAGAAGUUUGCUCAUCCUCCUUCCUGAGGCUGGAGCACCUUCUAAGGUCUUGGCUUUGUGUAGGUCUCAGUCCCAGCUUCCCUGUAUAGUCAGGCCAUAUCUCUUGCUGUUAAAGUCUCAGGGUCCAUUGGUGAGACCCACAGCCAACACUAUCAUCCACCUAGGUCAGUGUACCUUCAGCUGCUGAGUUCACUAUUCUGGCUGUUUUUUCUUCACUUCUGGCAGCUGGGAUUUCCUUUUUCUUUUGUGGUUAGCUGUGUGUAUAUUUGUUGUUUUCUAUGACAUCUCUGUAAGUUUAGAGUUAUGGGAUUGUGGUGGUAGGAUAAUUUAUGUUAGUCAGAAUAAGUAACCUAUAUAGAAGUUCUUCACCCUUCCAGGAAAUCCUCCAAUCUAUGACAAAUGACUACUUAAAUUGCCAUAAAAGGUGAAUUGUAAGUACAAUAAUCCAAAUAAAACUUUGAUUUUGCUCAGUGACAAUAUGCCCAGCAAAAAAACUAUGUUUCUCAGCAUCUCUUACAGCUAAAAGAUAGCCAUGUUACGCAGUUGUGGCAAAUGAGACAUAAGCUGGGAGUUUCUGAAAAAGCUUUGUCUUUGUGAAAAAGGCAGCAAGACUCAGGGGUUAAAAAAAAAAUCUUGUUUAAGCUACUGUCUUAGAGUUCUCUGUUACACCAUAGCCUAAUUCAAUCACUAGCUGAUACACUUUGAAGAGCAGAUCAAAUGAAAAAAACACCAAACUCAGAGUUGGAAGAAAAUGUUUAUUUAGCAAAAAGGUAUGGAGUAAAAUUGGUAGAAUAGAAAGGAGAAAUUAGAAGUGGGGAAUUCUGAGAGGCUGUUUUAAAACAUGGUAACUGGGAAAUAAUUUUGACAAAAUUCUCAUAGGUAAUGAAGCUUCAUAUGCCCUUACUGCCUAAUUAAAAGGCACCUAAUAACCAAUUUUAUUUGUAUUAAUUGUAUUGGGAAUAAUUUUCUCUAACCUUCUACCUUUCAUAAGGAAAAAUACAAUCCGUGAACACCUAGAUGGUUCUGUUUUCACUGUAUGGCACAAAGUAUCAAUGAUUUAACUGUGGAGAGUAGUAUCAAGUAGAGACUUGUCUUCUUGUGUUCAGGAAGUAUUAGCCUUUAACUAUGCAUUUUAAUUGUCAGGUAUGCCUUUGCCAUUUGAACUGUGUUACUCUUCCCUAUCACAGCAUAAUGGAGAUAAAACCAUUGUUUUUCAUUACCUAACCAAGAGUAUCAACUAAUUUAAAUAAAAUUUCUAGCAGUAAACAACUGUAUCUAUGUGAUUUUUUAAAGUUGGUUUUUCUCAAAUUUAAACGAUACAGUAUUAACUGUAACUCCAAGACAUAUUUGAGUGUCUUCUACUUACCAGGCACAGUGGUAGUUUGUAUGAAUAUUUCACAUCAAUCAUAACAAGCCAGAAAUAGAGAUGACCCCUAUUUUGUCAAGCCAAAGAGGUAAUAUAGCUUGAUCACUGUCAUAUGACUAGAAAGUAGCAGGGCUAUAAUAUAAACCCAAGGUUUUUGAUUCUAAGAUAAUACCUUUUUAUAGUGCCAUUAUGUUGCUUUUACACAAUUUCUGAUAAUAGCACUUAUUAAUUCAUAUUUAGUGGACAGUUUUCUCCAUUUGGCAGUCACUUUAUUACUUUAUUUUCUUAGUAAAAGGAAAAAAGUGUGAAAAAGGGAAGUGAAAAAUUGAUCCAAUCCUUAGGAUUACAAUGGCAAUUAAAUAGCUGUUUAAAAAAGCGGGGGUGUGGUGGGUUGAGAAUGUGGCCAGAUUUUUUAGAAGACCUGUCACCUUUGCUCCCAGACCAUCUUCCACUCAGAGGUGGAGGGGACCCUGCUUAAAACAUAAGAAUACAAUUUUAUUCUUUCAGCAAAUAUUUAUCAUGCCAAUGAAUUUAUAAAUAUGAGUAAACCCAUCUCUGUCCUCAAGGGGCUCACAAUCUAAGAAGGGAAGUGGACACACAGAUGAAUUAGUAGUACAUUUAGCACUAGUUGAUAGCAAUUUAGCACUACUGAGUACAAGGCACAUUUAUGGCACAAAGAGAGGACCAACUACCUUGGAGUUCCAAGAUCAAUAUACUAUUAAGACUUGACACUGGAACUGAGUUUUGAGAAAUGGGAUAUUUUCUGAGUGCUUGGUAUGUGCCAGAUAGUGUGCUACGUCAGAGGUCCCCCAAAUUUUGGCACCAGGGACAGGUUUCCUGAGACGGUUUUGGGAAGAAACUGUUCCACCUCAACUCAUCGGGCAUUAAUUAGAUUCUUGUAAGGAGCACGAAACCUAGAUCCCUCACACGCACAGUUCACAACAGGGUCUGUGCUCCUAUGAGUAUCUAAUGCUGCCACUGAUCCGACAGGAGGCGGAGCUUGGGCCCUAGUGCUAGCUUGCUCCCUGCUCACCUCCUGCUGUGCAGCCCAGUGCCUAACAGGCCACAGACCAGUACCAGUCAAGAGUCCGGGGGCUGGAGACUCUUGUGCUAAGUGAUUUAUCUAGAUUAUCUAAUCAAAUCCUCAUUACAAUUUAAGAGACAGGUGGCCCCAUUUUACAAAUGAAUCCAGGUGGUUUAACCAAUAACUCAUUCUACUAAAUACUGUGCUCUACCGACAUGCACAAACACACAAUAAAAUAAAUAACUGAAUGUAGUCACAGAGGAAAAGGAAUUUACAAGACUAUAACAUUCUCAUUUACAUACAAAAAAUAUGAAGUCAAAAUGUGUAAGGAAUUAAAGGUUACAUAGUAAAGAUAGAGAUAUCUCAUUUCUUCUAUUUAAGGCCUGUUGUAUGAUCGCUUUUUCCUAAAAAUAGUUUUCUCUUCCUGGUUUUGCCUUUAACUCCUUCAAACAAUCCAUUAGCACUUAGAGCUAUCUCAAAUCACAUGCCAACUUACCAAAGAAUGAGGUCAUUAAAUGACUGCAGCACAAGGACACACAAUUUAAUAGGGUUAGCUAAUAUUUAAUAUAAGAUAUUUACUGUAAAUAUCAGUGUUUUAUAAGUACUGAUCUGAAAAGACUGAGAAACAAGUAAAACAAGUUUGCCACCUUUUAUGAACACUGCUUCUUGCAUGUUCAACCUGUUACACAUGGACAUACAUACACGGUAUAAGUUCAAAUCCCAGGCUAGCCAACACAAUUUUAGAAGAGACUUCUCUAAUAUAACCUGCUCUAUUCUACCUAUCUCGAACGCUUCAUACCUUGUAAUGUUUUGUUUGUUUUACUGUUCCAACAUCCCUGUACAACCUGGACCGCAUAAAGCUUUUUAGGCACUCUGAUUAGUGUUUUCUAAUGUUACUCCUUGAUAAUCUUUUACCUGCUUUGCCUGAACUGCCUGAGGCAGGCUUAAUCAUUUUUUAAUACAUAAUGAAAUAAUACAGACUAUUUAUCUGUUCAGUUUGAAGCUAAACAGUUGAAUGCUUGUGUAAAAAAUUUAACUUCCAUAGGAUCAAAACAAAAACCCUAACGUUCUUAUAAUGCAGUUUUAAAAACACACGUUAAUUAACUUAAAGAUUCAAGGUGGAUGACCUUUAAGAUUUGACUGGGAUACACAUCAUGUGAUUUGGUGGUACACACUGAGGGAGCUCACAUGAGCUUGGAAGCAAAAUAAAUUGAAAUAGCACUUACUAAACAACUUUGUUGCUAGCACUGUGCAGGGUCCUUCACAUAGUUCUCUUAUCUAGUCCUCCUAACAACCUGAUAGCCACCAUUUUUUUAUUUUAAUUUUUUUAACAGAGAACUAUCCAGAAAAGAUGAACAACUUGUUCAAGGUCACAAAAAUGGCAAGUGAGGGAGCCUAGAUUAGAUCAGAGGUCUAAUUCCCAAGGGUAUGUUUGUGAUAUUGUGAAAUAUAUAUUUGCUCUUCAUCUCCAUUUCCUAAAGCCCUUGGAAUCUCUGAAAUUGUAAGAAUGUCAUUUGUAUGAUAACGAAAUGAAUGUUGCUGGGGACCCGUAGAUAGCUUCAGGGUGGGGUCUGGUCAUCGGAAAGAUCAAAGCAUGAUGAGAUGGUUGGAGCUUUCAGUGCCACCCUCCAACCUCCAGGGACACGACAGGGCUUGGAGACUGAGUUAAUCACCGGCGACCAAUGAUGUAAUCAAUCAUGCCUACAGACUGCAGGGGCAGAAAUGGAGUAAUCCCUUUCCUCCCCAUCAUAUAUAAUCAUGGUGGAUACCCCUAUAAUGAAAAAAAGUUAACAAGUAUAACAGUUAUUACAUGCAUGUGUGUGCACAGGAGUCAUACAAAAUGUGAAAACUCAAAGAGCCGAUAGAUGGCUGACACUUAAGUAUCAUUUUCAUUGGGGAAAGAGGGGGAGCUGUAAAUAAAUGGGCCGGAAGAUCAGACAAUGGUUUGUAAAUGAUUCCCUUUGGGAACUAAAUGGGACUGGAGAACAGAUAAUAGAUUGGGACAGGUCAUCUGGGCUCCAGGUGUGGUGUUUAAUUUUUAGUCUCUUCCUCUGUGAUAUAAGUUUUAAUCUCUGGUUAAUAAAAUUACAGGGAUGGAAUCGCAGGCAACUGUGUUCCUCUUUAAGGUCCAGUUUCUAGGUAAAUAAGGGAACUUUGGUGAACAGCCUCAUCUUGUGCUUUGGGAGAGACAGGAUUUGGGUGAGGAGAGCUGGAGAAGGCCAAGAGGCCUUGAGGCUGCUUCUUUAAUUCAGCAUGUCAAAGCCCCAUAUUUUGGGGUAUUGAUUUCUGAACCUUAACGUAAUGAAGCCUCCACAGAAACUCAGAAGGACAGGGUUCGAAUGAGCUUCGAGACAGCUGAACACAUGAACUGACUAUUCCCAGAGGGUGGUGCACCUGGAGAAGGCACAGAAGCUCCGUGACCCUUCUCAGUAUCUUGCCUAUGCUCCUUGUCUUUCUGGCAGUUCAUGUGUAUCCUUCAUAAUAUCCUUUAUAAUAAAUGGGUAAAUGUAAAUAAAGUGUUUCCCUGAAUUCUGUGAGCUGCUCUAGCAAAUUAAUCACACUUGAGGAGGGGGACCUCUAGCCAGUUGGUCAGAAUCACAAACCGCUAACUGCUUGUGACUGACAUCUGAAGUAAGGGGUAGUCUUGUAGGACUGAGCCCUCCACUUGCGGGAUCUGACACUAUCUCCCAGUAGAUAAUGUCAGAAUUGAACUGAAUUAGAGGACACCUGGCUGGUAUCCACUGGAGAAUCUGCAGUAAAGAACUGCUGGUUGUUGGUGGAGAGAAAUCCCCACACACAUUUGGUGAGAGAAGUGUUGAGUGGAAUGUGAGAGGAGAAAGCACUUCUGGUUUUUUCCUUUAUCUCUAAUAAUGUUCCUUCUCCUGCAUUGCACUGCCUCCUUAGGAAGCACCAGGAAUAAGAAAGGACAUCUGCUUUUCACAUGUGUCACUUGACAGACUUGUCAUGAUGAUGGGUUAAUAAAGAGACUAAAGAAAACCAUUACAAAAAAAAAAUCUGAAAUUUACUUUGGCCACAAAGAUGAAUAGCAGUUGGACAUUCUUGACAACUGCUUCUACUUUAGGUCUAGUGACUAUGAAGCACAAAGAUUCUCCACAUAUCAUUAAUAAAUAAAUAUAUAUAUGUAUGCAAGCAUGUAUUAACUUUGCUUAAUGUUUUAGUUUAAUCUGAUAUUAAUUUCUAUAUGUUAAAAGUUCAUUUAUCAUCCAUGUAACAUAGUCUUCUGCACAUCUAAUCAUGACAUUGUAUCAGUGACAUAGUCUGGUCACUGCAUUUAAUACAAAUACUGAUUUGAAGAAUUUAUAACAUUAAAAAAGUUUAAGAUUACAGAUUGAAUGACCAUUUAGAAAGUUAUCUGAAAAAGAAGGACUGACAAUACCCAACCCACAAACUGUUUCUCAUUCAUACUUAUACCUUUACUUGAAAAAUAACUCAGUAUUUUGGUGAAUACUGACUGUGCUACUGACUACAAACAGGAGAUAAUUUUUUGUAUGUGCUAUUGACUACACAUAGGAAAAUAAUUUUGUUAUAUUAAGUAUAAAUAAAAUACCCGCCCCCCACCAAAUUUUCAGAUAACCUAUAAAGUGGGGAAAGCUUAUCAUAAUGUCAAAAUGACUGGGAUAUCGAAAUAAAAGUAACUGUAUACCUUUUAAGUGCCUUUUAUACCCUUCAACCAAAAAAACCUUAUAAAAGUCCUCCCUACCCCCAGGGAAUUUGAGCUCUUACAACAUUUGCACAGAAAACAAGUGGCAAAGGAAGUUUCUCAAACUAAUUUUAAAAAACAGAACAACCCACAAAUCCUGUUUUUAUUUUUUGACAAAAGAAAAAUACUGAACAUUUUUUAAGGAAUGAUUUUGAAACAAGCAAGGAAAAGGUCACAACUUUGAAACCAGUUAUAACUGCACCUGGAUAGUCCCAAGACAGAAAGUUAAGUAGCUCAACAGGUUCUACUGCUAAGAUUUUGAAUCACAGGAAUAAUGUAUAUUAAAUAGUAAAAAUACCCUUGGGACUAGUUGUUUUUCAUAAAAGUUAAAGAAAGUUAAGGCUAAUAUUAAAAAAUAAUCCUAAUUUAUAUACAUAUAAAAAUUCUAAAUGUGAAAUUGUUGUUUUAUAAUGUACUAGUAGCUUUGAGAAGAAUUAAAAUUAAAAAAAUAAAAAUACCUUUACAUUUUAACCUGGAAUUUAAAACAAGAAUAUUUCUAGAUUUAAAAAACCUCUCAAUAUGAAGUCAUUAUCAAUGAAGAGGUUAGUUGAUUAUAAUAUUGCAUAAUAUGUUGCACUGAGUAACACUUUUGACAUUUACUAAAAAAAAAACACAUUAAAAAAAGUGGAAAUGAACAUAACUAAAAGAUAAACUCUAUUAUAUAUUACAGAUUCCCCCCAUCUUGACUGACAUUUUUCAAUUACUGAAGUCUACAGGAGACAUUUAGAACCAUAACAUUUUCCUAUUGGAAAUCGAUGACAAGAGAAAUAAAUCAUAAACAGGGGAGAAGCUAAAUAAUUCAUGCCAAAUGCUCACCAAAUAAUUAUAAGAUACCAAAUCUUCAAAAUUCACAGAAAAAAGUUCAAGUUUAAUUUCAGAACAUAUCCCAAAAUUAUCAAAGACAUCCAAUUUUACAUUAUGUUAUCUAUUAAUACCAAAUGGCAAUAUGGUAAACAAGAGGGGAAAACUGAGACAUUUUAACAUAUAUCCAGAUUUCAUAACAUUUAAAACUGAUAAGCACACAUUAAUCAGAAAAUAUGUGAUUAGAAUAUAUUUACUAAAAUUCUGUAACAAUUCUAAUAAAUAUACAGUGUUUUAAAAAAUGAAGGCAUGUACCUUCCUGUAAGGGUGGGAGACAGCUAACUGUAAGUAGAAUGUUUCACUGCAUUAAUUCAAACAAGAAAAAUACUCAAAUUUUCACUUAAGUACAACAUAGUUUCAUGUAUAGCUUCUUCUAAGAGACAAAGUGAGGCAAAUCUGAUAGCCCACAUGAUCAAAGACCUUAUUACAUAAUCAGGAAUGUAUGUAAUAUAAAGAUAUAAACAUAUGGCCAUUAAACAAGAAGAAAAAAGGCAAUGAAUUAAACACUAGAAUUAGGAAUUUAACCUACAGGCUAUUUUGUAGCCUAAACCACAUGCAUAUGCUGAGUAUUUUUCACAUCUAGCAUAUGAAAGAAAAAUUCUAUAUUUUAUGCACUGAGGUUCAAAAACAAAUUGAUGGGCAAUUCCCAAAUAUGCUUAAUUUGGGAGAAAAACACUUCAUAAAACUACCUUUACAUUAUAUGCUUUGUAAUGCAUUGCAAUAUGUUUCUCAAAGUACUAUAAAUUAUAAAAUAAUGUAAAAAUUUGGCAAGUUUCAAAUUAACAUGUGGAGCUCACUAAAACAUAGUAUGCUAUGCACCUAAGUACAGAAUAAAACAGCUCUCUCGUAAUGACAAAGAAAAUUAACAAAUUAUUCAUUAAACAAAUAAAAUAUAUAAUUAGAAAAACAGCACUCACCUUCAACAAGUCUCCAUGCUUUCAUUUCACAUUUUUAUUUAAUCAUGUAUUUCUCAUAACAUUUAGACAUCUUCCACAGGAGCACCAAGCAUGAAUUCUAAUUCUGGAUUUAGGCACAGGCAAGAGCAUACAGACACUUGCCAAGCUGCUAGGAUGUGUGUACUUCUUACAUAAUUUUCGUUUUAUACUUGUUUGUUUUGCUUUUCACCUAUACAGAAUGUGGAUGUAUCACCAAAAAAAGAAAAGGCAGGCUGAUUUCAUGGAACUGAAAAACAAAGCUAUAAAAAAUUAAUUUUCAGUAUUUUAAGUAAAGACAUGAAAAUGGAAAUAACGUUUAGACCAAUCAGUACAUAUAUAGAACUAAUUAUCAGGUAUUAGCUUAUUUUUAAAUUGUUACCUCAUUUAGUCUCAACAAUCCUAUCAGGUAGGUGCUAUUAUAAUUUCAAUUUAGUCGACUGAGGAAACUGAGGCACAGAGAGAUUAAUAACUUCCCCCAAAGUAACAUAGCGAAGUAACUCGCAGAAUCAAGAUAUGAGCUCCAGAAGCUGGGAUUCAAAAUUCUUUGCCACUAUAUUACAACAAUAUCAAAGAUUCAAAGCAUUUCCAUUAAACCAAAAAGUUGGCAUCAUCUUUAUUGCAAAAAUAAAAACAAGUUAUGUCUGCUUUAAGCAUUAUGGCAACUAUUUACUGAACACCUACAACACAGCAUUAAUAAUAACUAGCAUUUAUUGAGUACUUAAUAUGACAGGUACUGUACUAAUGAACAACUUUAUAUUCAUCAUGUAAGUCAAUCCAUGCAAUCACAUACUUAUUUUACAGAUGAGAAAACCACUGAGGUAUGGAAACAGUGCCUUUCCCUCCUCCAAAUCCCGUAGCAAAUUCACUUGUGGAGUCCAGAUGGCAACAAAUGUCUGAUGUCAAAGCCCAUGCUUGUUAAAGCACACUGCAAUACUACAAACCCGACCCCAACUACCAAACAAGGGCAUUCUUUUGUCCCAAUACCCAGAGCCUUAUGUCAUGUUAGUGCUAUAGCAAAAUUGAAAAGAUACAAUAAAAAUUUAAAUUGAGUAACAAAUUUAAAGGAAUUUUAAUAAAUUUAGAGUAAUUUUUCCUCUAUAAGCAUACUGUUUUUCUGUUUUAACUACUCCUACUGCAACCAUGCUUUCUUCUGCUUUUCUCUGCAAACAUAUUCAAGUAGAUCCCUGCCAGCUAGACAAUUAACACACUUUUUCUCUGGGAGAACAAAAUGGUCUCACAUUUCCAACAAACCUUUAAUUACAUUAAUUACAUUAAAAAUUCAAGCCUCUGUAUACUAUUCUUGCCAAAUCUUUUAUCAAUGUUAAUUGGUUGACAU